rnacentral:rRNA from 1 species
CAGCCGCCGCGGUAAUACGUAGGGUGCAAGCGUUAAUCGGAAUUACUGGGCGUAAAGCGUGCGCAGGCGGCUUGUUAAGACAGAUGUGAAAUCCCCGGGCUCAACUUGGGAACUGCAUUUGUGACUGGCAAGCUAGAGUCUGGCAGAGGGGGGUGGAAUUCCGCGUGUAGCAGUGAAAUGCGUAGAUAUGCGGAGGAACUCCGAUGGCGAAGGCAGCCCCCUGGGCCAACACUGACGCUCAUGCACGAAAGCGUGGGGAGCAAACAGGAUUAGAUACCCCCGUAGUCCCUGUCUCUUAUAC